CAUUAACUUGCACACUUAGUACCACACAAAAACAUUAAUCAGAAAAACUAGGCAAAAUGAGAAAUAGCUCAAAUACUAGAGUAACCGAGACUACCAAUGGAGCCCACACAGAAUUGAUAACAGAGCGACUAAUAAUCAAUGGAGCUUUAUUAUUAUCAUUCUUCCUUCAUAUAGUAACCGAGACUAUCAAAACCUUCACGCAUCCGCAUCUGCAAAUCCCAGCUCAGAAAGCUUUAGAUGAGCUUCAGCAUAAUCUGCGAAGAAAGCAUCCUCAUCAGCAGCAUAUUUUUCCACUAGAGGACGGAAAACUGGAUCCUCUAGAAGAGCCUUGUCGGACGGAAGCUGGAUAAGGUCUUCUUUCUCUCCACUCAGAAGUUCCUUGAAGUAUGAGUUGUCAAAAAUAAGAGGAUUUGGAGUCCAAGCUCCCUCAAAUCCAGACCUCUCCUUGUGGCACCUUCCCAGAGUGUGAGCACCAGAGAGAGCUACAAUAUCCUGAUCACUCAAACCCAUAUGCCCAAACACAUCCCUGAGAUGAUCAGGGCCUUUGGUGGCAUCAGGUAGACGGCCUUCCUCUGGAGGUUCAGGCUUAUCCUCCCUUCCGGGAUGGAAAGGGAUCUCCGGCCCUCCGGUAACCUCAACGGCAACAACACCAGCCAGCUGAUAGAAAUCACCAUACGACAGGAUUGGAAACUGCUCCUUAAUCGGCUCGAGAAGCCGAACAGCAAUAACAAGCCCGUUGUUCGCCCCAUGCGCAAGCUCCGCCGGGUGCUUAAUAGUCCCGAACGGACCCCCGGUCUUCGUCUUCACAUCAUAAGUCCCCGCCGCGUGCCAGGCGAGGCGGAGUAUGAGGGGGGCGCAGUUUUUCUCGGCGAUGAAGCCACGGAGCUUCUUCUUGCACUUCUCGACGGCUUUCAGGUACUCCUCGCUGACGGUGGGGUAGGACUUCGUCAUCGUGGGGACUCCGGUGAGCUCGCCGGCACCGGCGAUAGUUGAUG
rnacentral:misc_RNA from 1 species